UUUUUCCUUUAACAUUGUCUCUCCACAAUUAUAGUUUUUUUCAUCGGAUAUACUCUACACGCAACUGCAUGUACCAUUCUCUCGAGUCAGGUAGGAUGGUAAUAGAUGAAAAAGUUCUCCUUCAAAAUAUCUAACACUGCCAUAUUUUAAGAGAUCUCUUACCAUCACAUCUAAUUGAUCUUGAGUUCUCCAUAUUUACUCUUUCAAACAAUAAUAAUACCACUCACACUAACCACCUUCCAAAAAUCCAACUCAAUCAACAUGUGUAAAGUAGCACUAACUGAAAUAGUGGAAGAAAUUUUUCAAAGCAGAGCAAUUAUUAAACCUAAAAGAGGAAGAAAUAAUUGACACAACAGUAGCCUUUGGACCCAAUAAUCAAUAGCUCUUAUUUUAUCUUUCUUUAUAUACUGCUACUUGAAGAACAAAAAGAGGGUGUGGAAAACAAAUGAGAGAUAUAAUUGUUCUAGAGAUAGAAAAUAGUGAAGGAAGAAGAGUGUGCAAGAAGUUGAUGCAAUCUCACCACCAAUAUCACUGAUUCAAGAUGUUGGAGAAUUCUAUGUCAAAGGAUGUUGUGUACCAAAACAUACAUGAUAAGCUGCAGCUGGAUUCUAUCACAAAGUUGAACAUGACUGCCAUGGAGGAAGAGUGCAAUAAAUAUCAUCCGCAAAAAGUGCACUAAUAUAUGAAUUUAUGCCACAACCCACAAGGGUCAUUGGGUAAGUUCAUCCUCAAAAGUGGACUUCCUGAUGGUAUUUGCAGUUUGGAUUUGGAACAUAUUGUACCAAAUUGCAAACACCAUUGAUCGAGGACUGGAAUUCUUGCAUAGUUGCAUUAAGGAUGUAUUUCAAAGAUUGUGCAUUUGGAUAUAAAACCUCAUGAUAAUUUUUGGGAUGACGAUUUUUGCGCAAAAAUCUAAGAUUUUGGACUAACUAAAAGAUGUCAGGGGAGUGAUAAUUUUGAUAUCAAACCCCAAAACAUUCUUUUGGAUGACGAUUUUUGCCAAAAAAAUCUAAGAUUUUGGACUAGCUAAAAUAUGUCAAGAGAAUCAUAGUAUUGUGUCUAUACUUGGCACAAUAGGAUACAUAGUACUUAAAGUAUUUAGACCAACAUAUGGUGGAGCUUCUCACAAGUCAAAUGUAUGCAGCUAUGGCAUGUUAAUUCUAUAAAUGAUAGGAGGAAGAAAGAGUUAGGAUACAUGUACUUUUAGUAUUGGACUUAUAAGGAUCUUUAACAAAGGAAUGACCUUGUGAUUUGUUUUGCAAA